rnacentral:rRNA from 1 species
UACGGGGGGAGCAAGCGUUGUUCGGAUUUACUGGGCGUAAAGGGCGCGUAGGCGGUCAGCACAAGUCAGUUGUGAAAUCUCCGGGCUUAACUCGGAAAGGUCAACUGAUACUGUGCGACUAGAGUGCAGAAGGGGCAACUGGAAUUCUCGGUGUAGCGGUGAAAUGCGCAGAUAUCGGGAGGAACACCGGUGGCGAAGGCGGUCUCUGGGCCUUACCUGACGCUGAGGAGCGAAAGCGUGGGGAGCGAACAGG